AUUGAACGCUGGCGGCAGGCCUAACACAUGCAAGUCGAGCGAGCGGCGGACGGGUGAGUAAUGUCUGGGAAACUGCCCGAUGGAGGGGGAUAACUACUGGAAACGGUAGCUAAUACCGCAUACCAUCGGAUGUGCCCAGAUGGGAUUAGCUUGUAGGUGAGGUAACGGCUCACCUAGGCGACGAUCCCUAGCUGGGCUGAGAGGAUGACCAGCCACACGGGAACUUAGACACGGUCCAGACUCCUACGGGAGGCAGCAGUGGGGAAUAUUGCACAAUGGGCGCAAGCCUGAUGCAGCCAUGCCGCGUGUAGGAAGAAGGCCUUCGGGUUGGAAAGUACUUUCAGCGGGGAGGCGUUACCCGCAGAAGAAGCACCGGCUAACUCCGUGCCAGCAGCCGCGGUAAUUC
rnacentral:rRNA from 1 species